rnacentral:rRNA from 1 species
GUGCCAGCCGCCGCGGUAAUACGAAGGGGGCUAGCGUUGCUCGGAAUUACUGGGCGUAAAGGGCGCGUAGGCGGCGCCAGUAGUCAGGCGUGAAAUUCCUGGGCUCAACCUGGGGGCUGCGCUUGAUACGCUGGUGCUAGAGGACGGAAGAGGCUCGCGGAAUUCCCAGUGUAGAGGUGAAAUUCGUAGAUAUUGGGAAGAACACCGGUGGCGAAGGCGGCGAGCUGGUCCGUUACUGACGCUGAGGCGCGACAGCGUGGGGAGCAAACAGGAUUAGAAACCCUCGUAGUCC